GCCUCCAGGCACCGUGGCCUGCGCCUGUAAUCCCAGCUUGUUGGAAGGCUGAGCCCAGAGGAUCGCUUAAGUCUAGGAAUUCUGGGCUGCAGUGCACUAUGCAGAUUGAGUGUCUGCACCAAGUUCGGCAUCAAUAUGGUGACCUCCCGGAAGCAGGGGAGCACCAGGUUGCCUAAGGAGGGGUGAACAGGCCCAGGUCAGAAACAGAGCAGGUUGAAAAUAAACUUUGUCAACAACCUGGAUGAACUGACAGGUGAAUUCUGCCCUAGCCAAAUAUGCAAAUGACAAU
ensembl:misc_RNA Metazoa_SRP Metazoan signal recognition particle RNA